AUUAAAACAUGAGCGAAAGCUCGAUUUAGUUAUGAUAAAUAUGGUUGGUAAAUUUCGUGCCAGCCACCGCGGUUAUACGAAAAACCAAAAAUAAUGGCCUACGGCGUAAAAAGUGACCCGAGCUAACGCCAAAAACUUAAAGAAAAACCAUAUCAAAGUUGUAAAACACUUGCACAUGGGAUCUCCAACAAUAAAAUGACUUUAAACCAAAGGCCACUUACCCUCACGAAAGCUAAGAAACAAACUAGGAUUAGAUACCCUACUAUGCUCAGCCCUUAACAUAGACAAUACAAACACAAUAUUGUCCGCCAGAGAACUACAAGUGAAAAACUAGAAACUCCAAGGACUUGGCGGUGCCCCACAUCAACCUAGAGGAGCCUGUCCUAUAAUCGAUAAUCCACGUUGCACCUUACCAUUUCUCGCAAUUCAGCCUAUAUACCGCCGUCGGAAGCUUACCUUAUGAAAGAAACAAAGUAAGCAAAAUAGUCAACAACUAAAACGUCAGGUCAAGGUGUAGCACAUGAAAUGGAAGAGAUGGGCUACAUUUUCUACUUCAGAAAACACGAACAGAACAAUGAAACCUGCACUCAAAGGAGGAUUUAGCAGUAAGACAAAAAAGAAGCUUUGCCUUAAACCCGCUCUGGGGCGCGCACACACCGCCCGUCACCCUC
rnacentral:rRNA from 1 species